CUCGAGCCCGCGGCGGCCGUCGCGAGCCCCCCGCGGCCGGCGUGGGCCGCCUGGUUAGGCCGCGGCCACCGCACCCUGAGGGCGGGAAGGACCUGCGCGACGGCCCCCUCCAGGAUGCCCUCCGCGUCCACGUCCGCGUCCCGACUCCCACCCGCUGCCUUGGAAAGAAGUCUCGGGGCCGUGGGGACCAGAAACGGGCGCCAGAGCUGAUGGCAACCAGAGGACGCCCGCACACCCUCGCGCGCACGUGGCCUCCGAGGAGCGGCGUGGAGUGGGGCCAGGGUCACGAGGCCGCUCGCAGAGAUCCCCGUGCGGUCCGGCGACAGCCCAGCAGGUGGUGGCCUUACUCAGCAAGACCUGGGCCUGCUGGGGUUCACCCGAUCGCAGUCAUCGCGAUGGGGCCACGUGGUAAAACAGCGCCCCACGCUUGUCAAUGGGGUGGCCGCGAUGUCCAGUUUCCCAGUUUGAGCCCGCUGUCCUCAGAUUCUUGGAGACACCAGCUAUAGACAGAAACCCCCAAAGGCAGGAGCAGAUUUGUUUCCACGUCUCAUCUGUGGUUUACAAACAAGUUGGGAGAGACUUUGGUGCACAGCUACAGACUGAGCCGGUUUACUGCACAUUAUAAAUGGAAAUCUUUAUUUUUUUUUUUUCUCUCUGUUUUUAAGAAAUCCUGUUGCAAGGUCAUUAAUCACAUUAUCCAUUAUACCAGAAACAAAUGGAUUUGUCACUUGUUCGCAGAAGCUGAGGCCGCUUCUGGAAACAAAUUGUAUCAAAAUAAAUGAAAUUAUUAUGAUAAUAUAAAAUAGACGGCAGUGAUUAAUCUCCAGAAACCAAAUUUUGACCUGCUUUGCACUUCAAACAAUAGCUUCUGUUAUGUAAAUAGUUGUGGGGUUUUCAAGGACAGUGUUGCUAAAUUACAAGAAAAGUUCUUUUCAUGAAAAAUCUCUUCAUGGGUAAACAGUAGAGACAGGAAAUCUGAUCUACACAACAGCCAAAGCAGAGGACAGUGAAAGUUAUGAUGGUUCAGAAUCCUGAUGUUCCAUACGUGGGAUAGCCUCUCCUUGGCUGAAUGAAAGGUGCAAAGAGACUGCAUAUUUUAGAUUGCUAAUCAGGGAGGAAUUGCACUAUUACCAGCUUCCAUCAAGAGAACGUGUUCAUCUAUGUUCCAGAUGUCCCGUUGCCAUCUCCACUCAGCCCUGGACCACAUGAAGGGAAUUAAACCCUUCAUGCACAUUGCUGCUUUUGUUGCAGAGAUGAUGCUUGUAGAGUAAACCGGCCAGGAAAUGUUAUCUCAACUGACAAUGAUGAAGGAUGAAGACUUUAUUUUUGUUGACUUCUGUCUCCAGCGCUAGAAUAGUGCCUGACACCUUGAGACAGAUGUUUUUGUAUUUUCUUCCUGCCGUGUGCUUUAUUCACUUAAUCUAUGUCGUGAGACUUCAGUAAAACCUGGUGGAUUAAACACCCUCCUGCAACCUCUCUUAAAAUGGCAGCGGAGGGACUAAAAACGGCGUGAGCUGCAAGGACAACGAGAACGGCGAAGGAGAAGAGAAUAAUAAAAUCUUGCAACUGGAAGGCAAAUGGAGGAGCUGAAACUGUCUCAGGAAACCAGAGAAAUGACAACUGGACAUUGCAGGAAGGUCCCGAACCACUACUUGCCAGUGGAAAAUCUCAGGCUGCGGAAGUGGGGGCCCACGUAAUUCUACGAGUGGGUGUGCAGGCGACGGGGCACACUGGGAGGUUGGCUGAGAGUCUGUACCAGAAGCUCCCGAAUCGUCAGAUCCCUCUCCCCAGCUGAACAACCAGGUGGCUGUUUUCCUUCCUUCCCAGUGGAAAACCAGAGGAGUGGUUCUCAAACGUCAGCAGCCAUCAGAGUCCCCUGGAGGGCAAGUUCAAAUGCAGAUUGCUGGGCCCCACCCCUAGAGUUUCCGAUGCAGCAGGUCCAAGAAGGGACCUGGGAAUCUGCAUUUCUAACAGAUUUCUAGGUGAUGCUGAUGCUGAUGUUGAUGCUGGGCACUACACAAUGAGAACUACCGGACUAGAGAUUUACUCUCUGGUUCUAGACAUGAGCACACAGGGCAUAGUUAAGGAUGCAACCACUCUACAGAAAACAAGGAUUAUGUAGGCACCUACAUACGGAGUGGGGAGCCCCUCGGCCCCUUCUCCCAGUAGAGUCCCAGAAUGUUGGCAGCCAUAUGCCUCUCCCCUAAGGCGGGAGAUUAAAAGAUUCUUUUCUGGGGGAUCUGAUCAGCCCGAAGGAAAAGCAUAUCCUAUACAUUGAUAAUUGAGGACACCCUCCCACACCAGUGGAAGGGGUCAGUCCCCCCAGCAGAGGUUCUCCUCCCUGGAUGAUAGAGUCUUCUGGCGAGCUUUUAAAAAUAGAAGACUUUCAACCUUUGAAAAAGGUUCUUAUUGAAUUAUAACACACAGAAAAGAACACAGAUCCUAAGUGGACCAACCGCUUGAUGAAUUUUCACAAACUGAAUGAACACAUCCAGAAAGGAACCGGUCCCAAGCCCAAAAAACCAGGAUCCCCAGCAUUCCCCUCAGGCCCUUCUCACCAACCCUCACCCCAGAGUAAUCGCUGUACCAACUUCUAACAUCACAGGUGAUUUUGUCUAUUUCUCUAAUGUUUUCGAACUUGAUAGAAAUGGAAUCAUCCAGUACAUACUCUUUUUUUCUGGCAUCUUUUACACUAUUUUGUUUGUUUAUAUUACUGUGUGUAGUU
ensembl:lncRNA